UACGGCCACAGAAUGUUGAAACACCGGUGCCUGUACGAUCACCGAAGUUAAGCAACGUCGAACCUGGCCAGUACGUAGAAAGGUGACCUCUUGGGAAUACCAGGUGCUGUAAG